AUCCAGUACAGAGGAACACUUCAACACCCAGCGCUGUAUAUUUUCCAGGAACUUGCACAUGUUUAGGUCGUUAUUAGCUUCAAACAUUGGACAACAACUAAGACGAAACAACGGACUUGAAAUUUGUGGAAUUAUUUGUUUUCGGGAAACAAUCUGGAACUUGUGUAAAGCAUAAUUUUUAAUUUCUACAGUGCAGUGACGCGUGCAUUGUCAUGGCUGGCUGACUGACCACACUAGAUAACCACCGUCAGCGGCGCCAGAGUACUUGUCAACUCUUUCAGGUGCUCAGGCGAGUUCUAAUCAUACGCGGCCCACUGUUUACAAGAGUAUGACCACCUCAACCAGAAGCUCUAGUACUUUUAAAAGUUAUUCCAGAAGGGCCACAACAGAAGGAUUUAGAAUGAGUGGAGUCCAACAAGAACUUACAGAUGGACAUUGGCGCCCACCAUACAGAGACACAUAAAGCCAGAUGUAGUAUACACGUCUAUGCACAAUAGUAAGACCUGUAUUGGUCCUAUAUUGAAGAUAUCAAAAGGUAACACACAUCUUCGACAUGAAGUUACCCACGGCUGUGUUUGGUGAGAUCCACUCAGUUGGAUAAACGCCGAUCCUGAAUUGGCAGUGACGUUGGAGAAUCUCGAACGGAGUGUGCAUGGGUGUGCCGGUGGCUGAGUGGUUAAGGUGUCUGAUGCCUACAUGUAUGUUCUGGGUCGCAGGUUCGAGGCCUACGUUGGGCCGUGGUGAGGGAAAAACCCGCAGUAUGACGAAUCGUUGAGUGCCUGUCACCGUCAUUGGAUGUUAUUACCUCAGGCGUGCCCUGUCCAGUCCAGCCCAGCCCUGUCCAGUCCAGCCCAGCCCCAGCCCAGCCCGGCCCAGUUCCGUUCCUGCCUUCCGUGCCCUGUCCAGUCCAGCCCAGCCCAGCCCAGCUCCUGCCUUCCGUGCCCUGCCAAUCUUCAAAUUCUAGUUCACAAUUGUAAUUUGAGAAAGACAUGAAGAUUCAUAUGAUGUUUAUUACAUAAGACGAACAGGAAGACCUUUGCUUAUAUGGGGUAUCCAACUAUGCACUUUAGUAGAGAUGUUCCCCAAAAGCUGUGAGCAAAACCACUGCUAGAAUGUCCUGCAAAAAGUACAGUACAGUGUGCUGGAACAGUGUAAACAAGUGUGCUGGGACCGUGCUCGAAAUACACUCCACAGACAGAAAGAGCUAUAUAUAUUGCCAUUGGAAACCAGAUUCAGAAGUCUAGAAGAAGUCGCCAAAAUAGUUUAUAUGUUGAAGUUUGUGAAAUGCAAAUACAUUUUUGUGAUCUAGUGGUAUUACUAUAUGUCUAAAGACAGCAUACACAUGUUUGAAUAUGCGAUACAUUAAAUAAAUAAAAUUUAUUGAAUUGAUUUGUGUCAUCCUGAAUAACACCUGUAUGACCCCGAUUUACAAGCGUUUGAUUAAAACAUAUUUUAUUGUGGCACUGUAAAACACUGGCUUAUGAUGUAACUGUAGUUUCAUUUCUAGUGGUCAUUCAGAAAUUUUGUAGUUGCUGGUAUAUAUGAUGUUUUAGUAUUUGAAAGUAUUAGCAUUCGUUUUACUUGUAUAUCUCUUUCUGACGCUAAAUUGUAAUCUGCAUCAAUAAGGGUGUUUUUGACAAUCUGCAUCAUUGAAACGCUUGUAAAUUCAUGGUCUUCAGUGCGUUUUAAUUUGUCAUCUGGGUCUUUCUGACGCUCUUUUUGACAAUCUGCAUCAUUGAGACGCUUUAAAAUCAUGGUCUUCAGUGCGUUGUAAUUGGUCAACUGGGUCUUCCUGACGCUUUAUAUCAAUCUGCAUCAAUGGAACGCUUGAAAAUCAUGGUCUUCAGCGCGUUUUAAUUGGUCAUCUGGGUCUCUUUGACGCUCUUUUUCAAUCUGCAUCAUUGAAACGCUUGUAAAUUCAUGGUCUUCAGUGCGUUUUUAUUGGUCAUCUGGGUCUUCCUGACGCUUUAUAUCAAUCUGCAUCAAUGGAACGCUUGUAAAUCAUGGUCUUCAGUGCGUUUUAAUUACUCAUCUGUGUCUUUUUGACGCUUUUUAUCAAUCUGGUUCAAUGGAACGCUUUAAAUCAUGGUCUUUGGUGCGUUUGAAUUGGUCAUCUGGAUCUUUCUAACGCUCUUUUUCAAUCUGCAUCAUUGAAACGCUUGUAAAUCUGCAUCAAUGAGACGCUUUAAAAUCACGGUCUUUCAUGCUUUUCUUAUCUUCAUCAUUUUAAAAUCAAGCGGAAUUUUUGGAUUUUCAGUGACAAUCUUGGUCUUUCAGACGCUUUAUUCAAAUAUGCAACUCUAAAACGCUUGUUAAUAAAACGUGAGAAAGAACCUAUUUUAACGCUUGUUAAUCAGUGUCGUUCAGACCUUCAAUGUCGUCUUGUCGGGCCAAGCUCAAUUAGAAAAACUAAUACAAAAAUUUAUAAAUUUAACGCCAAAACAUGUGUAUGGUUAUUUUGAUAAACUAGUAUGUCCUGUAUUGAGUUACGGAUGUGAAGUUUGGAGUUACUGCACUUGAAAUUGUAAGCUUGGAGUUAAAUCUUCUACGCAAAACAAUUUUGUUUAUGGAGAACUAGGUUGUCUUCCCCUUAAAUUUAAAAGACACGUUAAAAUUAUGAAAUAUUGGUUAAAAAUUGUUCAUCAACAGAAGAACGUUUUAGUCCAUGGUGAGCUUUAUACACGAGCGGAAACGUCACGUGUGAUAAAUUGGGCAAAGUUUUAUUAUGUACUUGUGGUUUCGGAUAUGUAUGGAUUGAACAAGGAGUUGGAGAUGAAAAAGUAUUUUUAGAAUUAUUUCGAACCAGAGUGAGGGACAUUUUUAUACAGGAUUGGCAUAGUGCUCUUGUUGACUCGUUAAAAUUUUCGCAUAUCUGCCCAUAGA